rnacentral:piRNA from 1 species
UAAAAACNCGGGGAACAACCUGAGUGCCUGC